rnacentral:rRNA from 1 species
AUCUCUGGCCGUGCCACCCUGAACAUGCCUGUUUUCAGAAGCUAAGUAGGGUGGGGGCUGCUUAGGGCUUGGGUGGCAGACCUUGUUUGCUUACUGAUCUCUGGUGAGA